GACGAACGCUGGCGGCGUGCCUAAUACAUGCAGGUAGAACGCUGAAGGAGGAGCUUGCUCUUCUGGAUGAGUUGCGAACGGGUGAGUAACGCGUAGGUAACCUGCCUGGUAGCGGGGGAUAACUAUUGGAAACGAUAGCUAAUACCGCAUAACAGUAGAUGUUGCAUGACAUUUACUUAAAAGGUGCAAUUGCAUCACUACCAGAUGGACCUGCGUUGUAUUAGCUAGUUGGUGGGGUAACGGCUCACCAAGGCGACGAUACAUAGCCGACCUGAGAAGGGGAUCGGCCACACUGGGACUGAGACACGGCCCAGACUCCUACGGGAGGCAGCAGUAGGGAAUCUUCGGCAAUGGACGGAAGUCUGACCGAGCAACGCCGCGUGAGUGAAGAAGGUUUUCGGAUCGUAAAGCUCUGUUGUAAGAGAAGAACGAGUGUGAGAGUGGAAAGUUCACACUGUGACGGUAUCUUACCAGAAAGGGACGGCUAACUACGUG
rnacentral:rRNA from 1 species